rnacentral:rRNA from 1 species
GACGAACGCUGGCGGCGUGCCUAAUACAUGCAAGUCGAGCGGACUUGAGGAGAAGCUUGCUUCUCUGAUGGUUAGCGGCGGACGGGUGAGUAACACGUAGGCAACCUGCCUGUAAGACUGGGAUAACUACCGGAAACGGUAGCUAAUACCGGAUAGCUGGUUUUCUCGCAUGAGAGAAUUAUGAAAGAUGGAGCAAUCUAUCACUUACGGAUGGGCCUGCGGCGCAUUAGCUAGUUGGUGAGGUAAUGGCUCACCAAGGCGACGAUGCGUAGCCGACCUGAGAGGGUGAACGGCCACACUGGGACUGAGACACGGCCCAGACUCCUACGGGAGGCAGCAGUAGGGAAUCUUCCGCAAUGGACGAAAGUCUGACGGAGCAACGCCGCGUGAGUGAUGAAGGUUUUCGGAUCGUAAAGCUCUGUUGCCAGGGAAGAACGACUUGGAGAGUCACUGCUCCAAGUGUGACGGUACCUGAGAAGAAAGCCCCGGCUAACUACGUGCCAGCAGCCGCAGUAACAC